rnacentral:tRNA from 1 species
UGGAAUGUGGCUUAGUGGUAGAGAGCUUGCCUAGCAUGCAUGAAGCCCUGGGUUCGAUUCUCAGUACCACAU